UAAUAUUAAUUCAUGCAGUCACGAAAGCUUUAAGUCAAGAUUUAGAUUAUCAAUUGUUUACGGGGAAUUGUAUCGGCCAACACAUCAAGUGAGCGCACACUUUGUAGGCCGUUAACUGGCUUUUGUUCACCUCAUUUUAAUUGGAUCACUCGUUGUCGUGAUGUACGAGCAACGUGUUACCCGUGGCUACACGACAGGAAGGGGGGAGUAGAGUCAAGGAGGACACAGAAAUGCAAUAGAAAAAUAUAAUGCAACGGGAGAGGUAAAAGAAGCAAUGGUGAAUACCAGAUAAAAGGAACCGAUAAACGGGACCAAAGGGGUCAGGAGACAUUGAGGAUAGGGAGGAAGAGGCUGCAUGAGGGCCUCGACGUCGCUGCACGGAGCAGCGUCUGUUUCCGCAGGGGGCGUGGAGAGGGAUUCAGAGUGGCAGUUGGCCACGCCGAAAGUCACGUGGUUAAUGAGAGGCUUGAGAUGAUUUAGACAAGAGUGAUGUGUCACACGUACGUGGUGAGAGAUUGCGCACGUGCAGUGCACACCUUUGUGUCCAAUCUGUAACGGACGAGGAAAAACCCUUCGCAGCAGAAAACCAGUGCCGGCCGGCAAACCGUAAACUUAAAACACACACACACAGACGUCAAUCUUGAUUUGAAGCUUUCGUGACUGCAGGAAUCCGUACUCUUUGGUCCUUUCGGUAAAAUCACGUAGGUAUAAAAUAAAAUGCACACCGCUUUUUAUUGUUGGAAUGCACCGGACAUAGGUUUGAGUAAAUGUGUUACCGAACCGACACCAGCAAUAGAGAUAACUGCGUAGCGGGUUUCAUCCGAAUUAUGACUCGUGGUGCCUAGACUGCGCUGAUGAGCACUAAUUAUAAUUACACCGCUUCACACAUUUGUUCAGACGGUGACCUGAGGCAAAAGGACCACAAUGCACGUGUCCGGAAAGUGCUGAUGGCAUUUUGCACAAUGCGCAGAGAGGCUGAGUGUCGCCGUGAGUUGUUUGACAGCUUUGGCUGUUGCUGUUGUUAAAUCUGUGGUCCUGCAAGGGCAACAGGAGGAUGGAUGCAUGGAGAGAGAGAGGGGGAGAGGUCGCUCCCAAGCGCGACUUUGAUUUAAUAUGCGCGCGCGCACCGCUUGAAAUCUUUUUUAAAAACGUUGCCCAACGCUAAGGCGGACGGCGCCGGUGAUUGGCGCAGCUGCCUCGGGUUUCUAAUGCGCGCAGAGACGGUAACGUGGAGCUGCUGCCGCGCGUUUCUAAUGCGUGUGCGAGGGACUGCCACGGUUGUGUCUGACGCACAUCCAGAUAGGACGCUAGCUGCCACGUGUGUCUAACGCGUGUGCAUGUGAGACGGAGCCGCCACGUGUGUGUGUUUUCGUCUUUUAAACACAAGAUUAAGGGGGACUGCCACGUGUCUCAUGUGUAAUAAAUGGUGAAGCGAAGCUGCCGCGUGUGUGUUUGACGCACAGGGAGGAGAGCAGUUUGCCAUGGCUGCGACAUACAGAUGUAAGGUAACGGGGGGGGGGGGGUGCUUCCAACAAGGUGAGCUGCCAUGUGCAUGGGGCCUGCAACCAAAAGUAACAAGUGAUUGGUGACUGGACUGAGACCAUCAACUCGCCACACCCGAGGACCCGCUUUAAUCCGGGGCAGCUGAAUCCUGGAUCCGAACCCAGGGGUCUCAGCGGUGCCCGGCUCAGCGCUCUGACCUCCUGCGCGCCGGGAGUUUUUGAAGUUGCCGCUCUUUUGCGUGCCGCUUUCAAAAUGCGUUUCGGCCGCGGCCGCUCUUGGCCGAGACUGCGAUGGGCAAACGAGCGACUGCUGCUGCAGCCGCCGCCGCUUGCCUCGCGAUCACCGCGAGAGAUAUCGCUUCGCGUCGCCCUUCAGACUCACGUUUUCCUUUGAAACAUCAGAUCGAGGUUGCGCAGCCGCAUGUGCCAAGGUUUUUUUUUUUUCCUCUCGCUUUUGAAUCUGCUCUAAAUAAUAAAAAAACACAAUAAAGAUGUUCGCAUAGGAAUCUGCCACGGGCCUUUGUUGCGCUAUAAUAGAGAUGCCAUGCCUUGGCUCGGCACGAUACGGACGAGAGGCACGCGUGCGACGGGUUUAUUCCCCGGGGGAGAGAGGGAGACGUCUCGCCUGGAUCCGAGCGCACCUCUUCCAAGCGUCCUCGGGGUUCCUCCGAUCGACUCCGCCGCAGGUGACUCCGCAUCACCUCUGGACGAGGCGAGGAAGGUGCCCGGCUCGCGCAUGGCACGCAGACGCCACUACCAGCGGCGCAACAUGUGCGUCGCCGGCCAAGUGACCACCACGUUGCAUGUGCAAUGCGGCGCGCGCCUUGUCUGGACCACCAGCUCAAUGAAGCUCGAGUGCGUGGCCGUGUGAACCGUUUGCGUCUUUACGUUGCCAGCCUUGCUCGUUACGUGCAGAAAGUGUCCGUUCUAGUGGCCAUCUCUCAAGGUCCGCACCACUGUCCACAGAAUGGGGGGGGGGGGGGGGGAGUGGCCCUUCUCUGUCGUCGCUGCGUUCGCCCUCCGGAAUAACCGCAACUGCCAACCUGCAAUUCCAUUUGUCGUCAAUAAUUACGAGUGAACCAUUUUAAGGUCCCACUGAUUUUAACGACCCUCUUUUCAAAAAGGUGGUGGAAUGAAGUUGCCGUGAAAGUUUACAUCCAUUUAUUCUCUGUAUUAUGUUCCAACGUGCAUUGAUGUCCGCCUCCACCACUGAGUGCUGGUCAGCGUGGUGAGGUAUGGUCAAAUAACCACCACGACCCGCACGGCGUGGGGAGGGCCUCAUGCAGCAGUGGAAUGACACAGAAGUCUGCACGUGUGCAUGGACAGAUUCAUUAUAAAUAACAACAACAGGCGCUUGUGCCAGGCUAGGUGCAAGCGGUGUGCAAAGUCUCAGCAGGUGCGCCGCGGUGUUUUCGGAACUAAAGGAAAGGAAAGAGCUUCCGUUCGCAGGCUAGGGCAGACGAACUUCCCUCCGUGCCGUUCAGUGGCCGAUCCAGCAGCAGCAGCAGCGAGGGUUGAUCGAUCACCGCAGACAAUGUUGAGAAUCUCCCUUCCCGUGGGUGUCGAGGAGGCGCCAUGCCCUGACUCGCUAGGAGAAGGCGGUACAGUAAAUGGACCCAUCGCCAUCUGUCGACAUCUGUACGGGUGUCGAGUGUUGCCCCCUCGUGCAAGGCGUGGGGUUUCCUCGGGUGCUCCGGUUUCUUCCCACAUGAUGUGUAAACAUAACACAUGAUGUGUAACACAUGAUGUGUAAACAUAACUCAUUAUUAAUUUGCUGAACACAUCUUAAAAUAAACCCCAAUGUAGCAGCAGCAGGACCCUC